rnacentral:rRNA from 1 species
UACAGAGGGGGCAAGCGUUGUUCGGAAUUACUGGGCGUAAAGGGCGCGUAGGCGGCCUGUUAAGUCGAACGUGAAAUCCCUGGGCUCAACCCAGGAACUGCGUCCGAUACUGGCAGGCUUGAAUUCGGGAGAGGGAUGCGGAAUUCCAGGUGUAGCGGUGAAAUGCGUAGAUAUCUGGAGGAACACCGGUGGCGAAGGCGGCAUCCUGGACCGAUAUUGACGCUGAAGCACGAAAGCGUGGGGAGCAAACAGG